rnacentral:lncRNA from 10 species
CCAGGAGGGUCAGCACUCGACACUGACUGUGGCUUCCCUAUAUUUUUUAUCCCUGCCUCCUCCCCAAUUUGGUACCAAGCAGAGACAGCCAAAUAUGCACACCAAAGCAGUCACAGUGUGGCAGGCCGGGUCUCCAUUAGCAACCAGGGCAAUCAGCCUUCACCAGCACCUUACUGUAGCUCUGGUAAAUGUACAAAUUAAACAUAAGUUAACUUAAUUAAUUAAGUUUA